rnacentral:rRNA from 1 species
GAUGAACGCUGGCGGCGUGCCUAAUACAUGCAAGUCGAGCGAACAGACGAGGAGCUUGCUCCUCUGACGUUAGCGGCGGACGGGUGAGUAACACGUGGAUAACCUACCUAUAAGACUGGGAUAACUUCGGGAAACCGGAGCUAAUACCGGAUAAUAUAUUGAACCGCAUGGUUCAAUAGUGAAAGACGGUUUUGCUGUCACUUAUAGAUGGAUCCGCGCCGCAUUAGCUAGUUGGUAAGGUAACGGCUUACCAAGGCAACGAUGCGUAGCCGACCUGAGAGGGUGAUCGGCCACACUGGAACUGAGACACGGUCCAGACUCCUACGGGAGGCAGCAGUAGGGAAUCUUCCGCAAUGGGCGAAAGCCUGACGGAGCAACGCCGCGUGAGUGAUGAAGGUCUUCGGAUCGUAAAACUCUGUUAUUAGGGAAGAACAAAUGUGUAAGUAACUAUGAACGUCUUGACGGUACCUAAUCAGAAAGCCACGGCUAACUACGU